rnacentral:rRNA from 1 species
UACGUAGGGUGCAGGCGUUAAUCGGAAUUACUGGGCGUAAAGCGUGCGUAGGUGGUUUGUUAAGUCCGUUGUGAAAGCCCCGAGCUCAACUUGGGAAUUGCAGUGGAUACUGGCAAGCUGGAGUGCGGUAGAGGAAGGUGGAAUUCCCGGUGUAGCGGUGAAAUGCGUAGAGAUCGGGAGGAACACCAGUGGCGAAGGCGGCCUUCUGGACCAGCACUGACACUCAAGCACGAAAGCGUGGGGAGCGAACAGG